rnacentral:rRNA from 1 species
AACGAACGCUGGCGGCAUGCCUAACACAUGCAAGUCGAACGAGACCUUCGGGUCUAGUGGCGCACGGGUGCGUAACGCGUGGGAACCUGCCCUUAGGUUCGGAAUAACUCCCCGAAAGGGGUGCUAAUACCGGAUAAUGUCUUCGGACCAAAGAUUUAUCGCCUUUGGAUGGGCCCGCGUUGGAUUAGCUAGUUGGUAGGGUAAAAGCCUACCAAGGCGACGAUCCAUAGCUGGUCGGAGAGGAUGAUCAGCCACACUGGGACUGAGACACGGCCCAGACUCCUACGGGAGGCAGCAGUGGGGAAUAUUGGACAAUGGGCGAAAGCCUGAUCAAGCAAUGCCGCGUGAGUGAUGAAGGCCUUAGGGUUGUAAAGCUCUUUUACACGGGAUGAUAAUGACAGUACCGGGAGAAUAAGCUCCGGCUAACUCCGUG